UACAGAGGUCCCAAGCGUUGUUCGGAUUCACUGGGCGUAAAGGGUGCGUAGGUGGUGGGGUAAGUCGGAUGUGAAAUCUCCGAGCUCAACUCGGAAAUGGCAUUGGAAACUACCCUGCUAGAGGGUCGGAGGGGGGACUGGAAUACUUGGUGUAGCAGUGAAAUGCGUAGAUAUCGGGAGGAACACCAGUGGCGAAGGCGACUACCUGGCCUGUUCUUGACGCUGAGGCGCGAAAGCUAGGGGAGCAAACGGG
rnacentral:rRNA from 1 species